AUUGAACGCUGGCGGCAUGCCUUACACAUGCAAGUCGAACGGUAACAGGUCUUCGGAUGCUGACGAGUGGCGAACGGGUGAGUAAUACAUCGGAACGUGCCCGAUCGUGGGGGAUAACGAGGCGAAAGCUUUGCUAAUACCGCAUACGAUCUACGGAUGAAAGCGGGGGAUCUUCGGACCUCGCGCGGACGGAGCGGCCGAUGGCAGACUAGGUAGUUGGUGGGAUAAAAGCUUACCAAGCCGACGAUCUGUAGCUGGUCUGAGAGGAUGAUCAGCCACACUGGGACUGAGACACGGCCCAGACUCCUACGGGAGGCAGCAGUGGGGAAUUUUGGACAAUGGGCGAAAGCCUGAUCCAGCCAUGCCGCGUGCAGGAUGAAGGCCUUCGGGUUGUAAACUGCUUUUGUACGGAACGAAAAGCCUCUUUCUAAUAAAGAGGGGUCAUGACGGUACCGUAAGAAUAAGCACCGGCUAACUACGUG
rnacentral:rRNA from 1 species